UCAAGCACAGCCACAAUUUCAGUUUGCUGCUGGCCACUGGGCAGACAGCAUGGAAUGAACUGGAAGAAGAGAGAAUGAUGAUAUAAGGUUGAGUCAGGGCUGUGUGGAAUUCUGAGCUUCCUAAAGGCCAGUUUUUGUCCUUUGAGAGAAGAGCUGAGAGGGUCUCCCUUCUGUUUUUGGUGAGUUUCCCAUGGAUUUGGACUUGACAUUCCGCCAAUUGUCAAUCUGUGUAAUUGUGCUUUGAUGACCCAGAAGUCUCCCUGGAGAUCUGGGGAGACAUAGUUCUGUCUCCUGUCUGCCGAAAGCCGCUGGCUUCUGUGCAGAGGGUCCGUCUGCUUCAGGCUGCAAACGUCUCCUGCUGCCUCUUCAUUUGUCCCAUCCGUGAAAUUCCCAGUGACGUCAAUGGAGCUCCAUAUGCAGAACACGUGCCAUCCAUGGGACCUGGGAGCAGCACCCGGGAGCAGAGUGUUGACUCUGGAUUUUGUGCCUACGUGGUUGGCUGUCUGGAAACCUCUGCCUGCAAUCAAGUUCCUGUUCUUAAUUCCAGUCAGAUGGCUGGGGUGGGGGCCUGAAAACCCAAACUGGAAGUCCCAUUAGAGAUUAUCCCAUUAAUGCAACUAAUAUGCAUUGAGAGCCUGCCAUGUGGUGAGCAGGGUGAGAGGUUGGGCAUGGGACAGGGAGGCAAGAUGGGCUCUGGCUUCAGGGUUAACUUAGGGUCCCUGUGCGCGGAACAAGAUGUGUGUGAUUUCACAGGACAUUAUUCCAUCACAGCCUAACAGGAGC